UGGGGAAUAUUGCACAAUGGAGGGAACUCUGAUGCAGCGACGCCGCGUGAGUGAUGAAGGAAUUCGUUUCGUAAAACUCUGUUCUAUGGGAAGAAAAGGACUGUACCAUAGGAGAAAGCUCCGGCUAAAUACGUGCCAGCAGCCGCGGUAAUACGUAUGGAGCGAGCGUUGUCCGGAAUUAUUGGGCGUAAAGGGUGCGCAGGCGGCUUUACAAGUUGGAUGUGAAAUAUUGUGGCUCAACCACAAACGUGCAUCCAAAACUGCAAAGCUUGAGUUAAGGAGAGGUAAGUGGAAUUCCUGGUGUAGCGGUGGAAUGCGUAGAUAUCAGGAGGAAUACCGGUGGCGAAGGCGACUUACAGGACAUAAACUGACGCUCAGGCACGAAAGCAUGGGGAGCAAACAGG
rnacentral:rRNA from 1 species